CGACAAUGCGGCUGUUCAUCGAAUACCUUCUCAUAUUGAGGUUUAUGUCAGAUGUGGUGGUGGGAGACUCAGUCAGACACCAGACAGCGGGGCUGAGCAAACAAGAGGGAGACACAGUGAGUCUCAGCUGCUCAUAUACCACCAGCUCGUCCUAUGCUGUUCUGUACUGGUACAGACAUCACCCAGGUCUGGCUCCACAAUACAUUCUCUAUAGGGAUACUAAUGGAAAUGACAACACAGCAGAUUUCGCCAAAGGCCGUUUCACUUCACAGCUUGACACGAAUCAGAGAAAAACCACAUUAAGCAUAUCCAGUGUCAUUGUCACUGACGCUGCCACAUAUUAUUGUGGCUUAACAACAAGCACAGUGCUGCAAGUCAAUGACUUCCCU